UACUCACCAGAACUGACUGAAGAUCUAAAUGUAAAACCUAAAAUUAAGCAAUGUGUUCCCGCGUGUGCGUGUCCUCUUCGUGCGUAAGCGUAAAAGCACCGACAGCGUGCUGCACGCUCGGCUAUUGGUCAGCUGAGUGCACGCACUGGAUUGCGGAGGCUCUGCGUUGCAUUGCCAGUGAAAGCAGCCUGCGCUAUGAGGAGGAGACACGGAGGAGUAGCGUGACGUUUACUUCAACGGAGCACAUGAGACCUACAUGGGAUUUAAUAGGUUACACUAAAAAUCUACGGUGGUCUGUAUUCGGAAAUGCUGUCUUAAAACGAAGUGGCGUCAUGGAUGUCAUAAUUUGUAGACGGUCCAAAAUCCUCAUGAAGGUUGAAGCCAAAAUCCUUCAGCCCAGCAGCAUCUUCACAACGUACGACAGCUGGAAUUGUGCGAUUCGUGACAUCGCGUCGGUAUGAGGAAAAUAACUGGCACACUGUAAAGCAUCUGAUAUUACUCCCCCAACCAAGAAGAAUGCUGCAACAGAACAACAACAAUAACUGCUUGGACAUAGCCCAUAGGGAGCUAUUGCAUGAAUGCCGAAGAACCAAUGUCUCAUUCACCAGUGCCCUUGAGUUUGGAGCCAUACCCCUGAUUAAAGGCCUGAGAGCAUGGGCUGUGAGUGGCGGCUACUCUAAAGCCAGGAGAAAGGCUGCUAAUGGACCGCGAGCACAGGGCACAUGCCAACAGCCUCCUGAAAACAGGGUGGGGCAGAGAAGCUGGUCAGGUCAGGUCAGCAGUGGCUAUGGGCACACACUGGAUAGCACAAUUAGUGCAACGAGAACUCCAGGGGUCAGGCAAGGCAGUCUUGGCGCUCUUGUAACUGUGGCCACUUUGAAAGGCACUGACGGGGGUGGCAGGCAGACUCAGACACGCUGCCUCUUUCUCAAGGCCCAGGGAAGGGGCAGCUACAUCUGUGCUGUUGGAAACCGAGGGACUGGGACGAGAGUCACAGGUCCACGGACUCACACUGUCAUCCUUGAGGGGACAAAGGAAGAGCUUAGAUGUUCCUCUAAAGGGCCAAAGCUGAGCCAGGAUGGGCCAGACGAUGGUGGGCUUUUCAAGGCCAAGCCCAGGGCCAUACGAAAAUGGAGGAAGUGCAGUAAAACAACAGGCUUAGCUGAGAAAAGAACAGCGGCUCACGGCAAAGCGGAAAUUGCCAAUCAGGGCGGUCAACCGAAACACGGUGACCAAAAAAAAGCAGUGAUUUCAGACGCACAACCACUUAACGUAAUACCAGAUAACAUAAUAACACAAUGCCAAAAGGGUAGCAGUGCUAGCUAUCCACUUGAAGUCACUAUCAGCUUGAAGUUGGGCAAAGACGAAAGGGCUCAUUCCCACAUAUCAGUGAAAACUGACGCACCUGAGAGCACGGAUCCACAAACCUGCUGCUCUUCUGCCAAACCAUGUGCCAAACCAGGUGAGCAGGUUGAAGCUGGGAUGAGUAUUAAUCAAUCCGAUAACUGUUCUGAAAAAGAAUCCAGUUGUGCCAAUGGUGAUGCACACGGAGACACUGAGGUUAAUAAAUGUGACCUUGAUGCAAAUAAUCGCCAGAACAUUCAAAACUUUGUUGCUGAUGUGCCAAACCUAGGGUCAUCUGUAGCAUCUGAGACUAACUUUGAUAGUCUAGGAAUCAAAUUGCCCACAACAAACUGUAAUACUGAGCCAAGCAUGGAUCAUUCUCCCAUGAUAACUCCCUCCAAAGUCCCUGUCAGCAUUCAGAAAAAUCAAGAAGCCAGGCCAGAUGAGUGCCUACUGAACCGUGAAAAUCUACAUUCGGUGGAGCCCGGUGAUCUUACAACACAGAGAGAUGGGACUCCAGACACAAAGAAUACUGUUGUGCCUGAGGGCCGCACUCCAGUGGGUGUUGAAUGUAGCACUAAAGAAAAGAAGAGGAGGCCGUCCAUGUGCUCACCUCAGCAUUGGGAGGAAUUAAUCACAGAGCAUGGAGAACUUGAAGUUCAGCAGUCUGACAAAUCCUCUUCACGAGGCUUUAGCGCACCAACAGCCAAUAUAACGGUAACCACUAUUCACUCCCUGGUUAAUCCUGCCCCUACCACCACUGCAGCCAUAGCAACAGCCAUCCCAGCAUUAAGCAAGGGGGAGGUGGGGGCAAGAGGUGGAGAUUUGCUGCCUCUGGUGAACUCAGAGUUGCUAUCAGAGCCGGCAAGAGUUGACGACAAGGACAAGGUGGCCGCUGACGAGGGGUCUCUUGAUGUGGGCGAGGAGGAGGAGGAGGAUGAGUUUGGGACUUUCAUGCAGGCAGGUGGAGAGCAGCUGUGGACGGACGGAUUCAGUGAGAUCCAACAUUUGGCUGAGGAUUGCAACUGUGAGGAACACACAAGUUCUGCUGAUGCAAAUGAACCCGCAUCCUGGGCAUCUGAUUGGACUGCAGUUCAGUCAUUCCAGCAGUCAGAGAGCACAUGGACUGCCUUCAGCCAGGAGACUGUGGAGCAGAAGAUAGUGCAUGGUGGCCAGUGGUGGACUUCUACCGAAAAACCAAACCUUCCCCUCUCUCCUCUCCAUAAUGUGUCAAAUGUGUUUCUAGAGGCCUUUCCCUCUGAAAAGUCCCCCUGUGAAGAUCCUGAAUACAUUCCUACACUAAAGCAGUUUCUGCAAGGACCAGCUGAAAACAGCAAUACAGGGGAGCACAAGGAGCAGAGCUUACUUGAUGGCCUCCAGGAUCUAGACCGGAUGAUUGGUGUGAAAUAUAAGAGGGCGGAGUCUCUUUCCCGUAAACUUCUCCUUCAGUCACUGCAUUUGGAACGUCCCAGUUCUGAAUGUGUGACCGUUCGUCUGAAGACCAGUGCCAGAUUUUCUCCAAAUCUCCCAACAUCCAACCAGCAGUUAGCUGCAAAUGCUAAGAGAAGACUGUCAUAUGACUUCAACAGAAAUAUUAUGACCUAGUCUCUAUAUCUGCCGAAACAUCUUUGACCUAUGCUUCCUUGAAAACAGGAAAUACAGGGCAGAGGAAAAAUACAUGCUGAAAAACUGAAUAACUGAGUUUCCCUGGAUUGAAUUCUAUUCAAGGUUUAUUUAAAGUGUAUUUCUUCUUUCAGUGUCUGUUCUCACUCAAGUGUCUGGUAGAUUCUGUUUCUCAUUCAGCUGUGUAUCAAGACACACAAGACCUAUUUAGCCAAAUAUAUGUUUUUCAGUAUUUCAGAAUAUUGGGAUUAAAUUAGGACAAAUAUACUAAAAUUUCAAGUUAAAAACCCCUUUGCCAAAUUGUCUAGUCCAGGUGUAAGGAAUGAAUCUGGUUAUUGAACCGAUUUUGAUAUAACUGAUAUAAUCAGAUAAAAAUAAGUCAAUAUGCAUUUGUGUAUUACUUUCAAUAAUUGCUAUGUUAGUACUAACAUUUGUUAGAAUAAGAUCAUUUUUCUGGAAUCAUAGCAAACCAGUUAGUGCACGUUCUCACAGGGAUGUAGCUGCAAAUCUAGGCCUGUCACGUCCUGAUCCACGUCCCAAACUUUCCUUCCUACGGUCUCAAAUUAUGUCAAAUUAAAUUUUAAAAAAAAUUUGAUUUUAGGGGGUAUUAGGAUUAAUUUUUGCUCCCCGCAAGUUCUCCUUUGCCUGAAAACUGUCAAAGCAAAUUUCCACAAAAUGUAUUUUCAUACACCACCUCUCAGAGAAAUCCAUUUUCUUGUUUCCAUGUCUUUUUCCCCUGUGCUUGAAGUACUAAAUAUAACACUGUAGUGUACCAUUUUUAACCUCUGACGAAUAGAGACCAUAUUUUCAGAAGUGUUUUAAGAUGAAUGUUAACAUUUUAAAUUGAACCUGUAAGCUUGUUUGUUGAUUGAUGUAAUUAAAACAUCUUUGAAGGACUGAAUGAAGUGGAUAACUGAGGGAUCAACCAUUUAAUGUUUCAUUACUAAGCAGAUGUGCUAAACGCCUAUGACUUACGAACACAAAAUAACUUUAGGCUCAUUUCAGUUAUGUGCACCAGGGGCAUUUCCUCUUAAGAGGCAAGGGAGGCAGUGCCUCCUCAAAAUACUGGAUGAGAAAAAAAAAUUGUAUGACAAAAAUAAAAACGCC
rnacentral:lncRNA from 1 species